AAACUUGACCGAUCAAAUUUCAUUUUUCCCAAAAUGUUGGGUCAUUCGUAUGAAAAUUUCCCGUCCUAAUUUUAUCUUAUUGACAUUUUGAAAAAAUUUCAUAUUUUGACGAUCAGCUACCGGAAGAUUAUCAAUUUUGGAGGGGAGAGUCGUUUUCAAUCUCCCUUUCUGAUUUCAACGCAACAACCAAUUUCUCCUACUGUUCAAUGAUUCUACAAUUCUGAAAUCCAAAAAUUUUUCCUCGGAACUUCAAACGAGUUCGCUCGCCACUUCCAUGGUUUUUGAGAUCUGGUAGCUUAUCUCAUCAUUCUUAACUUACCUCUUUCAAAGUUCAAGAUGUGCCAUGAUAACUUCCAAGUUCAUUCUUUAGAAGAGUCAACGACAGCUGAAGAUAGUCUCCUUAUAUAUUGCAAACCAGUUGAACUAUACAAUAUUCUUCAUCUUCGUUCCCUUAACAAUCCUUCUUUUCUUCGACGUUGUUUGUAUUACAAGUUACAAGCUAGGCGAAAAGAGAGGGUGAGCACUGGAGUUGUAAUUUUCAACUAUAGGGACUACAACAACAUAGUUCGAAAAACUGAAGUAACUGAAGACUUCUCAUGUCCAUUUUGUUUGAUGCUAUGCGCAAGCUUUAAGGGUUUGCGCUACCACUUAUGCUCUUCCCAUGAUAUGUUCAACUUCGAAUACUGGGUGACUGAAGAAUAUCAGGCAGUGAAUGUCUCUGUGAAAAUUGAUGUCUUUAGAUCUGAGGAACAUUUGACUGUAGCAGAUGGAGUGGACCCACAACUACAAACUUUCUUCUUCUGCACAAGACCACGAAAGCGCAAGUUAAAGAACUCUAUUCAGAAUGGGAAGUAUGUGCAGUUCUUGGAGAUGGACUCACCUGGACCUGCCACAGAAGGCGUGCACAAGGGAUUUGUAGGGCAUAACACUGAUGGUGUAUCCUGUGAAAAAGAGGGGAGCCAUUCAUUCCCCAUUGAGACUUAUUUGCAGAAUGCACAACAAGACGGAGAAAAUAUUGGCCCUGAUUGUCCUUCCUCUAUGGAGUGCAUUGAACGUGUUGCAUCCAGCUCAAAUAUUCCAGGUGUCCCAAUGGCUAUCAAUCAAUCUUCUACAGGUCCUGAAUGUUAUAAAGUACUGUCUGGAAGUGAUCAUUUACAACCAACCAAAGGAAGGAAGUUAACGGUCGAACGAGACCCUAGAAACCGCAUGCUCUUGCAGAAACGGCAGUUUUAUCACUCUCACAGGGUUCAGCCUAUGGCUGUAGAUAAAGUACUAUCUGACAAAGAUAGUGAGGACGAAGUAGAUGAUGACAUUGCAGAUUUUGAAGAUCGAAGGAUGCUCGAUGAUUUCGUGGAUGUCACCAAAGAUGAAAAGCGGCUUAUGCAUCUAUGGAACUCCUUUGUUAGGAAGCAGAGGGUGCUAGCUGAUGGUCACGUGCCUUGGGCAUGCGAAGCAUUCUCAAAACUUCACGGGAAAGAGCUUAUCUCAUCUCCGCCUCUCUUUUGUUGGAUAUUUUUGCACAAGGGCCUAUCAAUAAAGGCGAUAACUGAUUUAGGGCUCAUUUUGAAGCUUUAUAAAAGUUGACCUUUUUUGCUUAGCUGCACCAUGAUUGUUAUCAGAGCUUGAAACAAGACAUGAUGACAGUAGGUGAAAUCUCCUCGAGCAAGCUUCCAGAGGCUAUGCUUGGGUUCAAACAAGACUUCCUGUUGAAGGAACUACCAAAUUUUUUACCACAUUGAAGGAUCUGUGGAAGACAUGCAGUAAGUUCUUUACGUCACUGGUAAUUCUAGGAAAAAGAACAUUUAAGAUACAAGCCCCUGCUUGAAUUGUACAUUGGAAUGAGAAUGGAGAUCAGUGUAAUUGGAGGCAGUGUACAGAGAGAAGUCGAUUUAAAUUUGGACAGCAAAAUUUCUAACAUGACUGAUUCUGACACUUGUUCGGCGAGCUCUGGAAGAGUGCUGAAUAAGGAGAAUGGUUCCAAGGACGAAGAAUGACAACCAAGAACAUCGAAUCGUCCUAUCAUGGUGUUGGAGAUUAUUCAUGAUCAAGCUCUGGAAUCAUGGCCUUCUUGAUGCCUCUACCAUGAACAACUGUAAUUUAACUCUUGAAGGAUUCAAAGAUGAGAGUUCGAAUGCGACGAAAAAUUGUAGAAGAGAUGACG